rnacentral:lncRNA from 10 species
AUCGCAAUCCUUUCUGGGAAGCGUAGUCUUAGGUGUCUGGAGAAGUCGCCCGGUUUCUGCUUGCUGGUCGCGAAAUUUUAUAGCUAUAAUUAACUCAGGGCGGAACAGCUAGCAGAAUCCUCAGCGUUCGGGCAAAGGGCAGAGAAUCCAGCCAGAAGCAACAUGUAGAUCUAAUGACCUUCUCCAGGAGUCGAGGACCCACUACCUCGCUGAAUUCUCAGAGUCAAAAUGCGUCUCUACCUGCUGGUCCCAGAACAGUCCCCUGCUGCUGCAUUGAAUGAAUCUCAUCUCACUUCCUCGAGUCAGCCCUACCUAUAUUUGAUGAUCACAAACCUUAUCCUUACGUUGCCAGCAGUAACAUUCUGCAUCCCUCACCCACUCCACUGUGUCCUUUUCCUCCCACUGAUCUUCACUCUGCCUUUUCUAGGGGAACUCUGAACAGUAUUUCUGAGAAGGGAUGAGGAAACUGAGGCUCAAAGAAGAUAAUGUGCCCAAGGUCACCUCGCUAGGAAAGAGUGGAGCUGAGAUUUAAACUGUGACUUUAAGCCCAAGUUCAAGGCUUCUUACUAGUUUUAACUACAUUCCCAUACCCCUUUUAAUCAAUCAUGUAAAUAAAAUCUUAAUUCUUUUAAAAAAUUAAUAUGUGUUUCAGCUUGUCCUGUAGAGAAGACUAAUACUUACAAAUGGGAAAUAUUCGUCAAGCUUUAUUUUUUCUAGUUUGUCUUAUGAAAUUAAGUUUUUCAGCCUUUCCCAAUAUAAAGCUAUAUUUUAUAUUAAAUAUGCUUUUUAUUUAUUUUUUUGAGACGGAGUUUUGCGCUUUUUGCCCAGGCUGGAGUGCAAUGGCGCAAUCUCAGCUCACUGCAACCUCUGCCUCCCAGGUUCAAUCGAUUCUCCUGUCUCAGCCUCCCAAGUAGCUGGGAUUACAGGCGUGUGCCACCAAGCCCGGCUAAUUUUUGUACUUUUUAGUAGAGACAGGGUUUCACCAUAUUGUUCAGGCUGGUCUUGAACUCCUGACCUCGUGAUCCACCCACCCUUGGCCUCCCAAAGUGCUGGGAUUACAGGCAUGAGACACUGCGCCCAGCCAAGUCUUAGUUAUUUCUACAUGUAAGUAUUUCAUGAUCCGUUUGUGAUUUGGACAUCAAAUGCUGAGCAUAAUGCUUCGCUGACCUCACCUGAGACCUGCAUCCACUGAAUUUUUACUGUAUGUGCUUAGGGCCGAAUGUAAUUAAAGUCUUGUUUAUUUACUUCUUUUUUUUUUUUUUUUUUUGUAAAUAAGGUCUCCCGUUACGCAAGCUGGAGUGCAGUGGCAGGUUAAUAGCUCAUUGUAGCCUCAAAUGUAGCCUUCCCAGUAGCUAGUGAAGGCCUUUUUAGAGGGGCUCUUGCUUUGAACAGUAGCAAAUAUAUAUUUGCCAUUUUUGUAGUGAGUGUCUGCAUUUGUGCAGUAAAUGAGCUCAUGAGUAAACUGAGGAGUACAUGGACUCAUCUCCUCCUCUUUCUUUUCUUUUUUUUUUGGUUCAACAUAUUUCUGUUGAACAAAUGUACAUACACACUGAACAGCUAUAUCCUGUAGUUCAGUAUAUUUCUGUUGAAUGAAUGAGUCUCUACCACUUGUUUAUAAAUAUAAACAUUUAUGUAAUUUUAAUAGUGAAUAACAUACAUGUUUUGUAACUUGCUCUUUUCAUGUCAGCAUAUACAGAUCUGCAUCGUUAUUUAUAAUUGCUUUAUUGUACUCCUUUGUGGAAAUUCCCCUCUAUUUAAUCUAUUUAAUCUUAAUAGAGGGGAAAUUCCCCUCCAUUUAAUCUGUUCCCUACUGAUAAUCACUUAGAUUUUUGCCUUUUUAUUUUUUGUUUUGUUUUGUUUUCUUUUGAAACAGGGUCUCACUCUGUUGCCCAGGCUGGAGUACAGAGACUCGAUCACAGCUCACUGCAGCCUCAGACUCCUGGGCUUAAGUUGCCCAGGCUGGUCUUGAACUGAGCUCAAGCAGUCUGCCCACCUCAGCUUCCCAAAGUGCCGGGAUUACAGGUGUGAGCCACUGUGCCCAGCCUAUGUUUUUAUAUUAAACAGUGUUAUAGCAAAUACAAGUAUAUGUGCAUGUUUGCAGGAAUCGCUAGUGCAGAGUUUGCACAUUAUGAAUAGCCACUGCCAGGCUUUUCAAGUCCUUUUUUUACCAAUUUACAGUUUCACUGAAUUGGGUGAGGAAAUUUCCUGCCCUACACCCUCUGUCUCACUUUGUUUUGUGCUGCUGUAACAGAAUAUCUGAGACUGGGUAAUUUCUAAAGAACAAAGAUUUAUUCUUACAGUUCUCAACGCUGGGAAGUCCAAGGUCAAGGGGCCCACAUCUGGUGAGGGCCUUCUUGCUGCAUCAUCCCAUGGUGGAAGGUGGACGGGCAAGAGGGCAUGCUUGCCUGCAGGAGAGGAAGAGGGGGGAAGGGGCCUGUACUUAUUCUUUUAUCAGGAACCCCUCCUGCGAUAACUAACGCUUUCAUGAGGGCAGGGCCCCGUGACCCAUCCCCUCUUAAAAAUCCGCCCCCUCAACACUGCUGGAUGGGGAAUGAAGUUUCCAACACAUGAACUUUGGGGAACACAGUCAAACCAUAGCAUUCUGCCCCAGCCCCCCAAAUUCAUGUCCUCUCACAUGCAGAGUACAUUCAUUCCAUCCCAACAGGUUUAAUGUUUUCAUUUGUUCCAGCACCAAGUCAAGAGUCCAGAGUCUCAUUUGAAUCAGAUACAGGUGAGACUUUGGGCAAGAUUUCUCCUAAGGCAGAUUCCUCUCCGCCAUGGGCCUGGGAAAUUAAUGUGCUUCCAAAAUAUGAUGGUGGGUCAGGCAUAGGACAGCAAUUCCCAUUCCAAAGGGAUUCGUUUCCUGUUGUUGCUGUAACAAAUCACCACAAAGUUAAUGGCUUGAAGAAUACAAAUGGAUUAUCUCACAUUUCCGGAGAUCAGAAGUUCGAACCAGAUCUGCCUGCACUACAAUCAAGGUGGCAGCAGGGCUGAUGAAUGCCUUCCUGGACACGUGAGGGGAGCAUCUGCCUCCUCACCUUUUCCAGCUUCUUGGGUCUGCCCAUGUUCCUUGGCCUCUUCCUGCAUUUGUCAAAGCCAGCAGCAUUUAUGCUGUGCCUUUCUUCCAAAGUUGUGUCUUCACGGACUUCCUGGGCAACUAUGAAGGACCUCUGUGAUUACACUGGGCCUGUGGGGAUAAUCCACGCUAAUCUCCCUUUAUGCUGAUUAGCAACUUUCAUUCCAUCUCCAACCUUAAUUCCCCUUUGCUAUGUAAUCUAACACAUUCACAGGUUCUGGAGAUUCAGAAAUGGACAUUACUGGGGAGGGGAGAGCAUUUUUCUGCCUACUCUAGAUCCAAAUGUCAACCCAAGGCUGAACAGCCCUGAUUUCAAAGGACAUAUGCACACAUGACACAUAUCCACACGUACAUGCAUUAUACACACAUACCUGUACACAUUUAGACAGAUAUGUGGAGCAUCUUUACAGGUCAGAACACAAAUAUACACCUCUACCUCCUUUUUAUGGCUGCAGAGUAAGCCAUUCUGUGGAUAUACCAUGUUCUACUUAACUGCACGAAAGCAAGGCAGCACCACCAAACCCUCCAGCCUCAUAUUCAAUCUAACUGAACUGUGGACUGAAGACAGCUCAAGACCGUCAAACCUCCACAUCACAAACGGUUCCUCCAAGGCUGUAGGGAUCUACUUGAGCCUUCAUAAUAGCCAACAGUAGCAGCCAUAUUUGCUAGGUGCUUUCUAUGCCCCAGACACUCACUGGGUUGACACCUACAUCUAUUCUAAUUCUCAAACCAGGCAAAUCGGAUAGGAUCCACUAUUACUCCCAUUUUACAUAUAAGGAAAGUGAAACUCCAAGAGGUAACUUGCCCAGGACCCCAGCACUAAUAAGUGGGAUUGUGGGAUUCAAACCCAGAGGGCUUGACUAGCCACCCCUAGACUUAGUUUAUUUAAACCAGGGAGCAGACUACACCUGAAGGCUCAAUCCAGCUCACUGCCCAUUUUUUAUGGCCAGAAAGCUCAGAAGAGUGGUUAUUUUUAAAUGACUAGAAAAAACCCCAAAAGAAUAAUAAUAUUCGGUAACACGUGAAAAUUAUAUGAAAUUCAAAUUUCAGUGUACAUGAAAGUUUUAUUGGAACACAGCCAGGCUCCUGUGUUUAUGUGCUAUCUAUGGCGGCUUUCAGGCUACAACAGCAGAGUUGAGUUGUUGUGAUAGAUACCGCCGUGUGAUCUGCAGAGCUCAAAACUGACUCUCUAGCCAUUUAUCCUUUCUCCAG